rfam:Erinaceus europaeus unplaced genomic scaffold scaffold00013, whole genome shotgun sequence
UCUACGUGCCAUACCACUCUGAACACACCCGAUCUCGUCUGAUCUCAGAAGCUUAGAAGGGUCAGGCCUGGUUAGUACUUGGAUGGGAGGAUAAGAGGGGCACAAUUCC